rnacentral:miRNA from 2 species
UAUGGCACUGUAGAAUUCACUG